ACAAACUGGUUUUUCUUCUCACGAUUAUUAGAAAGUGAAAAAAAAAAACAAAAAAAAAAACCUCCCAAUGCUGUCUGUCUGUCCCCCAACAUCGACUGAUCAAUUCAGGGAGAAGCAGCCUGUUGUGCAUUCUGUUUAAUUGCUGAGCAGAUCCACACCCUGGGUUUGCCACUUGCUUUCCUGGCCAGGUUGCUGUCCAUUUCCUAGCAGGUUAAAUGUGCAAAAGCCCAGAAGCGAUCUUAAGUAAGAGUCCGGAAUAAAAGGAGACAAACUCACAGAUUUGGAGACAAGGAGUUUGGCUGUCACAGUGCUUUGCUUUGAGACCAUUCAGAAUGAGGAUCCAGGUCUGGAGUGAUCCUUGCCAUUCCGUUCUUCACCUGCCAAUGGGAUUGCAAACAGCUUGAACCUACAAACUGUCCAACUUGGUUUAUAUUCCUCUGAGGUCUUCUUUAACCUUCCAUAAUUUGCCAGAAUUUCACAAUUAUAAACUUAGGACUGGAGGCUGAGGAGAUGCUUGAGCCAAGGUCGGAAAGCCUAGGCUUCCCCCUGCCCCCAAGACCCAGUGUUGGCAGGUGGGAACUGACUCCUCCUCCACGUCAUCCUCUGACCCCCACGUGGGCACCGUGAUGUGAGCACCCACAACAGAAACACAAUAGCACAAUUUAAUAAAGGAGUGCAAUAAAAUAAUUUUAAACUUUGUGCUAUAUUUGGUUCUGAUUUUACACCAUUCUAAGGAUUGGCGCAGGCCAUGGUAAUCUGCAGGGUAAAG